CAGAAAAUAGUUUAUAAAAAUAUUAAUUUUGGAGAUUAAAGUAGUAAAAAAAUUUAUUUUUCUGA
rnacentral:tRNA from 1 species